AUAUUAUUAAGCGGAGGAAAAGAAACUAACAAGGAUUCCCUUAGUAGCGGCGAGUGAACAGGGAAGAGCUCAACAUUAGAAUCGGCACCCUUGCGGUGAUCCGAGUUGUAAUCUGUAGACGUGCUGUCAGCGAGUGGCCCAGGCCUAAGUCCCUUGGAAAAGGGCGUCACAGAGGGUGAGAACCCCGUACAUGGCUUGGCGUUCCGCCGCGUACGACACGCGUUCAUCGAGUCGGGUUGCUUGGGAUCGCAGCCUAAAAUGGGUGGUAAAUUUCAUCUAAAGCUAAAUAUAUGCGGGAGACCGAUAGCGCACAAGUA
rnacentral:rRNA from 1 species